GAAGAUCUUACACAAGCUUAAAAAGGUCUUAAAAUAAGCAGGAAUUAUAAGCACAAAUUCCAAUGUCUUUCUGGGGCAUUUGUCUGCAUGAACCUUCUGAGGAAUGGG
rnacentral:lncRNA from 1 species